GUAGUUUUUUUUUUUUUCAUAUAAAAAAAUACAACCUAAUUUGCGAUUCUACACGUCUUAACUCUAUGUAAUAGCCAAGCACCACGAGACAGUACAGUAGUGUUGUGUAGCGGAAUAAAAAAUAGAGUUAACGUUUUAUAGAAACGACAUUAAAACUAAAAAAGGAUUUUUUAUUUAUUUAUUAUGUUUAGACAAAAGUCGUAGAACAAAAGAUGUUAGUAUCUAUGUACCUUAUGCGCCUUUGGAAGGUUAUGCGUUAGAUACCAGUAAUCUUGUAUAUAAAUAGUUUAUAGGCAGCAGAUCAACCCAUGAAAUCGUUAUGCGUGGUGGUCAAAAUCAUAUGUUUUUAAAUAGCCUAUUAAGUGUCCCACUGCUGGGCAAAUGGGACGCCUUUUUGUAAUAUUCGUCAUAUUUAAUGACCUUUUUUGUAAGAAAAACCACAUUAUAACUGUGAUUUUGAUAAUUAUUAAUACUAUUAUUUGGUGAAGGACCCGCAUCUCCGUUUGUGGGUUGAUAAAUAUUGUUAUUUUAAAUAUUAUUGUCCAUUUACUAUAAUGUUUCCUUGUUAUGUUCCAUAUUUAUUAUCAGUUGUAACGGGGCGGCCACAGAGGACCGAUGACUUGGGAGCUGAUGACAAAGGGCGCCGAAAACGACAGAAUUACAUAUACCUUAUGAGCAUUAAUUGUAUUAUUUAAUUAUACCAAUAUGAACUCGAUUAAAAAACGAUCUUAAAACAUCUUUUUUAUAUCUGCUAAUAAAUAAGAAUAACAUUACUAAUAAUACUGAUUGAAACACGCCGUGUGACAAAUUCUGCUUUAUUACUUCGCUCUGCAUUUCGUCACGCAUAAAUAUCGCCUCUUUUGCACCAACAUUAGCACGCAUGCGUCAAAAUGUACUGACAUGUUUACACAAUUUCAAUCGAAUAUUAGACACGUCAAAGUCAUGUCAAAUGUCUUUAGUCGGCUUGAACAAAUCUGAGACCAGUGUUAAUUAAUUACUACGCUCUAAUAAUUAAUACACUCGAAAAGAAGAAGAUUAUAAAGGUAUACUUUUGUACUUACACAUACAUUUAACUAUCUAAAUGAAUGCGCCCCCUUUUAUAUUAAGCCUGGUAUAACCGCACAGAUCCUAGACGCUAGGGCCGCACCUGCUUCAUUAGUAGCUCGCAAUCAGCAAUGUUAGCUUCCGCGGGACGCGUACGACGGUAAAUUGUUUGAAAUUUUCGAAAAUCUGUUCAAAAUGGUGAGAUGUGCAAUUAAAAGUUGCUCAGCUCGGGCCGAGAAGGAGGAUAAACUACCGGGUGUUACUUUUCACAAGGUACCAAAAGAUCAAAAGCGUAAGGAGGAGUGGACAAAAAUCAUCAGGAUGCUGCGUCAAGAGUCCGAUUGGCUACCUUCAUCAGCCACCGUGGUUUGCUCCAAACACAUCAAGGAAGUCGAGAAAGUUGAACCAUUUAUCACACAGUAAAUUUAGUUCCAAUUUGUUUUUCUUCUGUACAAAUAUUGUUUACUUAUUCUAUGCUAAUAAUUUUAAUUGUAAGUUAAAAGUGUAUAAUAAAUUACUUACUACUA